CGGGUUCCGCGGACGGGGCCGCCCGCGAGGGACGGCGCCGCCCCGGGGCUCGUGAUAUCUCAUCUCGCCGCCGUCGCGAGGCGGACGGAGGGAUGGAUGAGGUUACCUAGGAAAAAUCGGGGCGAUCUAGGCGGGCGAACCUCGCCAACGAACGAUCGGACAUGGGAUAACGGAAGAGGGGCGUCGGCUCGACUUCGUCGGUUCCUCGGGCCGAGGCACGUACGGUGAAUAGGGACGGUCGGGGCCGCCCGUACCGGGUCGUGAGAGGUGAAAUUCUAGGAUCGACCCGAGACGAACCGCCGCGAAAGCAUUCGGCAAGGACGCUUUCAUUAAUCAAGAACGAAAGUCGGGGGGAUCGAAGACGAUCAGAUACCGUCGUAGUCCCGACCGUAAACGAUGCCGACCGAGGGCCCGGAGGAGUUACGUACGACCCUCCGGGCCCUCCCGCGAGAAAUCAGGAGUAUUCGGGUUCCGGGGGGGAG
rnacentral:rRNA from 1 species